rnacentral:rRNA from 1 species
UACGUAGGGUGCGAGCGUUGUCCGGAAUUAUUGGGCGUAAAGAGCUUGUAGGCGGUCUGUCGCGUCUGCUGUGAAAAUCCGGGGCUCAACCCCGGACUUGCAGUGGGUACGGGCAGGCUAGAGGGUGGUAGAGGCGAGUGGAAUUCCCGGUGUAGCGGUGAAAUGCGCAGAUAUCGGGAGGAACACCAGUAGCGAAGGCGGCUCGCUGGGCCAUUCCUGACGCUGAGACGCGAAAGCUAGGGGAGCGAACAGG